ensembl:lncRNA
AAAAAGCAUCGCCAGAAGUGCUCAUUCCCACCUGGGCCGCUAAAUGUGCAUAAAGGACUCGUGCAGAGGUGCGUGCGUAUAAUGUGUGAGUUACAGAGCUAUUAUUAUCUAAAGUCAGAGCCAAUCAUAAGCAAGCAGCUGGUACGUAGUUACUAUCACAGUGGAGUGUGAACAGAAGUGGGGUUGGGGUUUUUUGAGAGCCUGACUGCAGUUGACUGAGAACAGAAACACAGAAGCUAGAUUUACCUGGUCCAUGUCUACAGAGUGUGCAAAGCCUUAUACAAAACAAAAGUUGUCUAUUGCAGCCCAAGCAAGAGAAAGUCAGAUAAUAAGCAGAAGGAUUACGCCACAUCUGGAUGUAUUGCCUUCCAUGACAAAGGAGGUGUUUUCCUGUGCUUUCACCACUCAUAUUGCUACAUCAUGUGUAAAAAAUGUAGCAUUUCAGAGGCCAUCAUGCUUGCUUUUCUCCCAAGGGAUCAAGGCCAACAUAGACUGUGAAGAGCAGUGGAGUUGAGACUGUGGCACUCAGCUGAAAGCAAGGUUGUUUAGAGAAGAUGGAGCGGGCAGUUGAACUGUAAUCACCCUGAACAGAAAAGGUCUGAAGACAGCUGCUGUGGUCUUAUGAAGAAGAGGCUAGUUGCAUGGAGUUCAUGUUUGCAAUAAGUUGAAAUAAUUGACUUUCCUUUUCUAAGUUUAUUUUACAAGAAGCUACUAGGUUGGCUAGAAAUCUGUUUUAGUAGCUGAAAUAUAGGAAACAAAGACACAUUUAGAACUUCUGAAAAAUCCAUAAAAUAUCUGGACCAAAUACUUUAGUAGUUGACCAUUUCUAAAGAAAUAGAGGUAGCAUAAACAGUCCUCAGAAGGCUUGUUUCCAAAGUAGACCAUCGUAAAUGGAUUGAGGAUUUGUAUGCCUAAACAAAGAAGAAAGAACAAUGACUCUAUAUUUCCUGUAGUAAAUAUGUUCUAUUGGUCUCAUAAGAAGAGCUUAUGAGUUCUAAUAUUGAGAGAUAGAGUAAAUCUUUGCUUUAUAUUACAACAGUUUUUGGAUUGAACAUAUUCUCAGUAGGCUUUGAUAUUCCCAUCCUGCAGUUAAGUAAGUUUUAAAUAAUAUGACCUCAUAUAUGAAUGUAUAGAUUCUAAUGUAUUGUGUGAAGAACAUACACUAGAUCCUGAGUACAAAGAUUAAUUGAAAUGAGAUAAGCAGGUCUUUUAUAUAAGAAAUAUUUUCAAGAAACAUCUGAAACAGGGCAGUUUGUAACAGCCAUAGUCUUCUUCAUGUUUUAUUAUGAUAACAGUAAACAUUUUGUUUUGUCAAUGCUAAUGAUCCUUAACUUUGACUUGGGAUAUCCAAAUCACCUGUUGGUCUUUAAUUUCAAGCAAAAAUAACCAUAUCUUUGCAAGGCAUUGCUUUGGCCUUAAAGAAAAUAGUAUUUUGGUUACAGAGUCAUAUUUUUAUAGAUUUGGAAAGUGUAUGGCAAGCAUGUGGUGUUUAUCAGUUAUUGUAGGAAGAUAUGUGAAGGAGGGUAAAAUCUGUGUGACUUACUUAUUUCUUUCAAAUAUUCCCUCUUCAGCAGCUGAGAAGAUUAAUACCAUUAACGUUCACAUCUUUUGGUUGUUAAGAUGAGAAAGUAUUAUUAAAUUAAAAUGUUCCUUUAUGAAAAUUUUUUGGGUUCCAGGAAAUGCAAUUAGACAAAUAAAUUUGAAUGUGUUUAAUAAACA